rnacentral:tRNA from 1 species
GCUGGCGUAGCUCAGUCGGUAGAGCAACUGCCUUGUAAGCAGAAGGUCGGGGGUUCGAUUCCCUCCGCCAGCA